AGUGGGAGGAGGUGUGGUUGGUAGGAAGACAGGAUAACAGCCAGUUACAUAUGUAGGUCAUGUGACCAUCAGAGACUGUUUUAAAUUAACCAUAAAUUGAUGGCACUUUUUCUUUUAACUUUUCAUAUUAGGUUGGCUGUUUCUUGACUCCAGCACCUCGAUGUUUAUAAAUGCUCGAGCAAGGGUUUAUCAUCUUCCAGAUGCCAAAAUGAGUAAAAAAGAAAAAAUAUCUGAAAAAAUGGAAAUUAAAGAAGGGCAAGGUAUCUUGUAGGGUUAAGUCUUUAAAUGUGUUUUUUAUUUCGGUAUUUGGUAUGGAAAUUUAAAGUGCAAUUUAAAGUCUUCUUUGGCCAUGUGAAAAGUGUGUUCCUUGAAGAUAAAUAAACAAAAAAGGAACUGGUCCUAGAAAGCAACCCAAAGUGGGAGGCACUGACUGAAGUAUUAAAAGAAAUUGAGGCAGAAAAUAAGGAGAGUGAAGCUCUUGGUGGUCCAGGUCAAGUACUGAUUUGUGCAAGUGAUGACCGAACAUGUUCCCAGCUGAGAGACUAUAUCACUCUUGGAGCGGAGGCCUUCUUAUUGAGGCUCUACAGGAAAACCUUUGAGAAGGAUAGCAAAGCUGAAGAAGUCUGGAUGAAAUUUAGGAAGGAAGACAGUUCAAAGAGAAUUAGGAAACCUCACAAAAGACCUAAAGACCCCCAAAACAAAGAACGGGCUUCUACCAAAGAAAGAACCCUCAAAAAGAAAAAACGGAAGUUGACCUUAACUCAAAUGGUAGGAAAACCUGAAGAACUGGAAGAGGAAGGAGAUGUCGAGGAAGGAUAUCGUCGAGAAAUAAGCAGUAGCCCAGAAAGCUGCCCGGAAGAAAUUAAGCAUGAAGAAUUUGAUGUAAAUUUGUCAUCGGAUGCUGCUUAUGGAAUCCUGAAAGAACCCCUCACUAUCAUCCAUCCGCUUCUGGGUUGCAGCGACCCCUAUGCUCUGACAAGGGUACUACAUGAAGUGGAGCCAAGAUACGUGGUUCUUUAUGACGCAGAGCUAACCUUUGUUCGGCAGCUUGAAAUUUACAGGGCGAGUAGGCCUGGGAAACCUCUGAGGGUUUACUUUCUUAUAUACGGAGGUUCAACUGAGGAACAACGCUAUCUCACUGCUUUGCGGAAAGAAAAGGAAGCUUUUGAAAAACUCAUAAGGGAAAAAGCGAGCAUGGUUGUCCCUGAAGAAAGAGAAGGCAGAGAUGAAACAAACUUAGACCUAGUAAGAGGCACAGCAUCUGCAGAUGUUUCCACUGACACUCGGAAAGCCGGUGGCCAGGAACAGAAUGGUACACAGCAAAGCAUAGUUGUGGAUAUGCGUGAAUUUCGAAGUGAGCUUCCAUCUCUGAUCCAUCGUCGGGGCAUUGAUAUUGAACCCGUGACUUUAGAGGUUGGAGAUUACAUCCUCACUCCAGAAAUGUGCGUGGAGCGCAAGAGUAUCAGUGAUUUAAUCGGCUCUUUAAAUAACGGCCGCCUCUACAGCCAGUGCAUCUCCAUGUCCCGCUACUACAAGCGUCCCGUGCUUCUGAUUGAGUUUGACCCUAGCAAGCCUUUCUCUCUCACUUCCCGAGGUGCCUUGUUUCAGGAGAUCUCCAGCAAUGACAUUAGUUCCAAACUCACUCUUCUUACACUUCACUUCCCCAGACUACGGAUUCUCUGGUGCCCCUCUCCUCACGCAACGGCGGAGUUGUUUGAGGAGCUGAAACAAAGUAAGCCACAGCCUGAUGCGGCGACAGCACUGGCCAUUACAGCAGAUUCCGAAACCCUUCCCGAAUCAGAAAAGUAUAAUCCUGGUCCCCAAGACUUCUUGUUAAAAAUGCCAGGGGUGAAUGCCAAAAACUGCCGCUCCUUGAUGCACCACGUUAAGAACAUCGCAGAAUUAGCAGCCCUGUCACAAGACGAGCUCACGAGUAUUCUGGGGAAUGCUGCAAAUGCCAAACAGCUUUAUGAUUUCAUUCACACCUCUUUUGCAGAAGUCGUAUCAAAAGGAAAAGGGAAAAAGUGAACAGCGAUGGCUGUUUUCUUAUCCCAUGCCUGUACUUUUCAGUGGCUCCUUGCCAGACAGCAUAGGUCAUUAUUAAUU
rnacentral:sRNA from 1 species